rnacentral:rRNA from 1 species
UACGUAGGGCGCAAGCGUUAUCCGGAAUUAUUGGGCGUAAAGAGCUCGUAGGCGGCUUGUCACGUCGGAUGUGAAAGCCCGAGGCUUAACCUCGGGUCUGCAUUCGAUACGGGCUAGCUAGAGUGUGGUAGGGGAGAUCGGAAUUCCUGGUGUAGCGGUGAAAUGCGCAGAUAUCAGGAGGAACACCGGUGGCGAAGGCGGAUCUCUGGGCCAUUACUGACGCUGAGGAGCGAAAGUGUGGGGAGCGAACAGG